CUGGUGGUGCCUCUAGGAACCUGCAUUUGAUUAGUGUUCUUUCUCCUUUGAGUUUGCCAAUGUUCUUCUUGUUGAAGUUGUAUCUGUUCCGGAUCUCUUUGCUGUUUGUUUUGUUGAUUAUUAGUCUCCUGCUGCUCCUCUUCUGUGUGUCCCUUAGGUUGUUGAGAAUUUUUUCCUGCAUCUCAAUUAUUCUUGUUUCGCACAUUUUCCAUUUCCUUUUUCUUCUUAUCCUCAUCCCUUUGCCUUAUGGUACAAUCAGUUUCCAAAUGCCCUUGGUGCUUACAAUAAAAACAGUAAUCCGGAAUAUUAUCAUACUCUAUUUUCUGCCAUCUACCAUCCGUAAUGUCCUCCCCUAUAUAACCCAUCCAAAUAUAAGGGGGUCUUUUUUGGGUAAGAUCAACUUGUACCUUCACCCUAGCUUGACUACCCCUAGUCCUUUUAAUAGACGCAAAAUCUAAGUAUAACACUUUGCCAAUAGGAGACAGCAAACCAGAAACAAACUCCUUAUUAUAACAAUGCCAAGGUAAUUCAGGUAAUGAGCAUAAAUAAAAGACAUCAUGAAUUUAUCCAGGAUAUCUGUAUACUUAAAUGUUACUGUGAUGUGCUGUUCAUGCUUUUCAAGAAUAUGUCGAGUAACUUCAUUAGACCAAAACAACCAAAUUUUCCCAUUAGGAUUACUGGUUGCAUGAUCCAUUUGGAGUUGAAGUUUAAACCUAUCAAUGUAAGAAUUAUCUGCAAAAGGUUCCAGUAUAGCAAUAAUGGAUAAAUGAUGAAGUUUCUCAAGUGUUUGUAAUCUUUCCAGCGACCCUUUGGUGUUGAUACUCCUAAUAUUCCAACAAAUGGCCCUAAUCAUUAAAAAACUUUUGAUUUGGACCUAGUCAUGGGCCUGCUAGAGGUGUCAGACAUACUGGUGGUAGGUUGAUUAUGAUUGUGUCUAGUCUUUUUCCUUCCCCUUGGGGAUAAACCCUGUUUUUCUGUCAUUCUUUGAACAUCUGGGCAUUUAUCCUGCAAGGUAGAACCAAACACUUGACUUGUAUGUUGCCUGGUAUCCUCAAUAUCUUCAUCAGACUCUUCUAUAGAUUGAUUAUCAGGGUCCAUCUCAUCAUCAGAGUUAAUUGCCCCAUAGUCAUCAGUAGUCAAUUUACCCUUAUUGAUUAAAUUAGGAUCCUGUUCAUCAACAUGUUGACUGGAGUCUAAGAGAUUCUGAUCUUUAUGAGAGACAUGUGCCUUAGAUUGUUUACCAGUACCUGUACCAUCUGAAUCUAUACCAGCACUUUGUUGCAGUCUCUUCUUUAUAGCUUCUCUUUUCUUUUUACUCAAUCUGUCCCCAGACUUGUUAUUAAAUCUACUCUGAGAUUGCCCUGUAUCAAUAAAUUGAGGAGUUCCAGAUUUAUGCUGAUCUGUGGCAGGGGUAUCAGGUGCUCUAGAGUCUCUAGUAUGUUCAACUUCCAUUUCAACAUAUAGCCAAUUCCCCCAACCCCCUUUGGCAACCCCUUCCUGCAAAUUAAUUGGUGUCUCCUGACCCUUUCUAUCUAAACCUCCUACUGCUUCCACAGCAAUAAUAUUCACAACAUUAUCACGGGGUUGAGGGGAAGGGAGCAUUGAGUUAAUACCUGUGACUGCUGGUCCUUUAAAAACUUAUUUUCCUUCAUUGUUACCUGUUGAAGAUAUAGGAAUGUUAUCCACCUGUACCUGUUUGUUAGUGUUAUCCUUUCCCAUAUUUGCUGCUGUAAUUCUGAUUUGGUCUCCUUGGUCUUACUGCUUUUGUACUGAAGUCUGAGGUAUUCUAGCACUGCUGUUACCUUUGUGUUUAUCCCUGACCUCUAAUCCCUGUGGUGUCUCCUGCCCAUCAAGAUUAAUGUAGGUAUUUUGUGUAGGAAUAGUACUGUUACCUGCCUGUUUAGUGUUCUGAUCUGCAUGACUGGUGGUGCCUCUAGGAACCUGCAUUUGAUUAGUGUUCUUUCUCCUUUGAGUUUGCCAAUGUUCUUCUUGUUGAAGUUGUAUCUGUUCCGGAUCUCUUUGCUGUUUGUUUUGUUGAUUAUUAGUCUCCUGCUGCUCCUCUUCUGUGUGUCCCUUAGGUUGUUGAGAAUUUUUGCCUGCAUCUCUAUUAUUCUUGUUUCGCACAUUUUCCAUUUCCUUUUUCUUCUUAU
rnacentral:lncRNA from 1 species